rnacentral:tRNA from 1 species
GGGGGCAUGGUGUAACGGAGAGCAUAACAGACUGCGAAGUUGUUGGUCCGGGUUCGAAUCCUGGUGCCCCCA